UGGGGAAACUCAGCCAGAUGGGCGGGGUAUAAAUAAUAAAUUAUUAUAUAUUAUUAUUAUAUAGGGAGAUUAGCAUCCUGAUUUUGUGCAUAAUUUUUUGUUGAUAUUGUGUGUGUGUGUAUGUGUGUGUGUGCUCGUGCCAGAUACCCAA